CUACGGGAGGCUGCAGUGAGGAAUAUUGCACAAUGGGGGGAACCCUGAUGCAGCAACGCCGCGUGGAGGAUGACGCAUUUCGGUGUGUAAACUCCUUUUAUAUGUCAAGAAAAUGACGGUAGCAUAUGAAUAAGCACCGGCUAACUCCGUGCCAGCAGCCGCGGUAAUACGGAGGGUGCAAGCGUUACUCGGAAUCACUGGGCGUAAAGGACGCGUAGGCGGGUUGGAAAGUCAGGUGUGAAACCCUACAGCUUAACUGUAGAACUGCACUUGAAACUUCUAAUCUAGAGUAUGGGAGGGGGAGAUGGAAUUAGUGGUGUAGGGGUAAAACCCGUAGAUAUCACUAGGAAUACCUAAAGCGAAGGCGAUCUCCUGGAACAUUACUGACGCUAAGGCGUGAAAGCGUGGGGAGCAAACAGGAUUAGAUACCCCAGUAGUC
rnacentral:rRNA from 1 species